rnacentral:rRNA from 1 species
AGCUCCAAUAGCGUAUAUUAAAGUUGUUGCAGUUAAAAAGCUCGUAGUUGAAUUUUGGACUUGGCUGGGUGGUCUUGCCGCAAGGUUAGCACUGCUCUGGUCGGGUCUUUCCUUCUGGGGAUCACUGUGCGCUUAACUGCGUGCGGAUGGGAACCAGGACUUUUACUUUGAAAAAAUUAGAGUGUUUAAAGCAGGCGUACGCUUGAAUACAUUAGCAUGGAAUAAUAGAAUAGGACUUUGGUUCUAUUUUGUUGGUUUCUAGGACCGAAGUAAUGAUUAAUAGGGAUAGUUGGGGGCAUUAGUAUUUAAUUGUCAGAGGUGAAAUUCUUGGAUUUAUGAAAGACUAACUUCUGCGAAAGCAUUUGCCAAGGAUGUUUUCA